ACCUGCGCGUUGGCCAAGCCGAGCCGAGCCGCCAGCCCGUCGCGCUCGGACGGCGCCAGGUACUUCUGGAAGACGAAGCGCCGCUCCAGCUCCAGCACCUGCUGCGCGGUGAACGCCGUGCGUGACUUCCGCCGUCUGCGGCCAGCCGGGUCGGGGCCCAGCGCGCCCGGGGCCGCGCGGCCUGCGGGGACAGGGUGGGGGUCAGCCUCCUAGCCUGGGGGGGUCAGGCUUCGGUCCGCGAGGAGAAGCGGGCGUGGGGUCAAGCCAGAGAGGGGGAGGGUUGGUGCGGAGCCAGAAGGCGAACCGGAGCCAGAGCCGCGGACCCUUCCCGAACUCUGCGAGGGGCGAAGGUGGUGUUUCAUCCCGGGGGGUGGGGCGCAAAGUGGAGCCGGCCUCCAGGGUACCCUUGGGAGGCAGGAGGAUGAGGGCAUCUCGCGGGGUCGGGACACUGGGAAGAAGGCGGGACAAGCCAGAGGAGAACGGGUGCACCGUCUGGAGGCACAGGGCGGGGACUCUGAGGCCUUCCGGAGCGCCUGCUGGAGCGGACUUGCAGAUCCAGGCCGGCACCAGUGGCGGGGGCCGACCAUGGUCAGAGUAGGGGCAGCCAGCUGGCAUGCUCCUAUGGUUGGAGUAUGGGUCCUUCAGCCUGGAGAGGCCCAGAAACCACCCAGCCUCUGCAACGGUGGGAACCACUCACUGCCCGGGAGCAUCAGGGCCACUGGCCAUAGAAGAGUAACCUCAAGUGCAGACUUCAUCUACCCAACCAGAUCCGGAGACAGAACCCCUACAAACCCAACUGCAAAUUCUAAGACCUGGGAUACUCUUUUCCA